UCCUUUUGUUUCUCUUUUCCUGAUUCCGGAGGCCAUAUUCUUCUCAUCUUCUUUCCAUGCUUUUAGAUGUGUGAGAUCUCUCAUCUAAUGGGACCCUUUAAAGAAUAAUAAUUGAUCAUGAAGCACCUUUGUUUAAAUGACUUUUGAUUCACCGGACCUUCUCCUACUGAUCUAAAAAAUACCAGGGGGUCAUUUGGCAUCAUCCUAGAAUCUCCUUUACUUGUUAUGGAAUAUAUUAAAGUAAGAAAGUAGCUCCAAGUACAGCAGCUGGUUAAAGAGAAAGCAGACCAACUGAAUGUUUGGCACUGAGAUGGCAACACUUUGAAGAUCAAUCAUUGGAUUUUGAUUCCAGUGAUCAAACUCUUGACCGCAACCCAAGAAAAUGUGAAGAUUGAUCUGAUACAAUUGACUUUUACGAUUUGUUGUUGGCCAUUGUGGUUUCCCUUUUUCUUUUUCUCUUUUCUUUUCUAGAUGAAAAUUUCUUUUCUUCAGUUCAGCCUUGGAUAUGGAUUACAGAAUUAAAGCUAACACUACCCUUUGGAAUAUGUUUCUUUUUGGGACUUUUAUGCAGAGGAGUGCUAUUGAUUGCUUUCAUAUUGCAAGAAAAAGUCUGCAACCAUAAAUUAUGUGGAACUUUUUGUCAUUUCAAUAUGAGUUUGUGUUUGUCCCAAUUAGAGAGAAAAGAUUCAAUGGAGAUUGUGUUGCUUUCUGUGAUUGUAUCUCAAACCCAAUGGGGUGCUGCGUAAGAUAUAGGAGCUUGUUACUUUUUUAGGUUUAUAUUGCAACCAUGUGGGUAUGCUAGUUCAACUUUAGGGUGUUAGUUAUAUAAUACUAGAAUUGGUCACAGAAUGAGAGGUAUCUCCAGGUAUCUUUAUAAUUGAAUUAUGCAGAAGUUUGCAAUGAAACAUGCAAGUUCAGUCUUGAAAGAAUAAGAACUUAUAGGGUGUUCUCUUUUUUUUUUCUUUGUCCUCUUUUGUAUAUGCCAUUUGAUGGCUGGAUGCAAUUGAAAUCAUUUUAGAGUC